rnacentral:snoRNA from 1 species
AUGCAGGUACUGUUACAAUAUAACUGAAGUGUUUUGUUGUCAUUCCCCCUGCUUAAAGCAUUUGAUAUUUAAUUAUUUCUAACUCCAUUCCAUAGUAAGAUGCAGAUACUUGGUCUCAAACAU